rnacentral:tRNA from 1 species
GUCAUUUUAGUAUAGUGGUAAGUAUUUCCGCCUGACACGCGGAUGACCCGGGUCCGAUCCCCGGCAACGGCG